rnacentral:rRNA from 1 species
UACAGAGACCUCAAGCGUUAUCCGGAGUUAUUGGGCGUAAAGGGUCCGCAGGCGGCCCCACAAGUCAUAUGUUAAACCUUCGGGCUCAACCCGAAGAUUGCGCGUGAUACUGUUGGGCUAGAGACUGGGAGAGGCACAUGGAAUUGCUGGUGUAGCGGUAAAAUGCGUUAAUAUCAGCAAGAACACCAGUGGCGAAGGCGGCUAACUGGCCCGGUACUGACGCUGAAAUACGAAAGCGUGGGGAGCAAACAGG